rnacentral:rRNA from 1 species
AACGAACGCUGGCGGCAUGCCUAACACAUGCAAGUCGAACGAGACCUUCGGGUCUAGUGGCGCACGGGUGCGUACCGCGUGGGAACCUGCCCUUAGGUUCGGAAUAACUCCCCGAAAGGGGUGCUAAUACCGGAUAAUGUCUUCGGACCAAAGAUUUAUCGCCUUUGGAUGGGCCCGCGUUGGAUUAGCUAGUUGGUAGGGUAAAAGCCUACCAAGGCGACGAUCCAUAGCUGGUCUGAGAGGAUGAUCAGCCACACUGGGACUGAGACACGGCCCAGACUCCUACGGGAGGCAGCAGUGGGGAAUAUUGGACAAUGGGCGAAAGCCUGAUCCAGCAAUGCCGCGUGAGUGAUGAAGGCCUUAGGGUUGUAAAGCGCUUUUACCCGGGAUGAUAAUGACAGUACCGGGAGAAUAAGCUCCGGCUAACUCCGUG